GUGAGCCAUGCAUAUUUUGAUAAGUAUUACAGACAUUUUAAAUGUAAAAAUAUUUAAUUUGAGGGUCCAUUGUGCCUUGCAAAGUAUGGUACAGCAAUUGAACUUUGUUUUCUGCCAGGCACAGAAAAAUUCAGUUAUGAUGGUAGUGCCAUAUGUGUUUUAUGCACCAAAACUUACGUAUCUAGAGAAAUAAUUUUUAUUCUGGUGAUCAGAGAUCUGCGGUGCAAAGAGUUGCCAAAAUUCCAUGAUGAAAUAACUUUGACUGUGUUUCUAUUUGUAUUCUAUGUGUGGCAACAUUCACAGAUGUAGUUAAACAUCGACCGUCACCAGCUACGAAGGUUUGAUUUCUCUUUGCCAUGUUCUUCGGAGCGUCAAGCAGAGACCCACGUCUUGGUGCCCUUUUCUUUGUCUUUGUGCUGUAUACAUUGUGCCAUCUAGUACAAUAAAUCAGUGUUUUUAGUAA